rnacentral:rRNA from 1 species
GCGAUGGACAACAGGUUGAUAUUCCUGUACCACCUCUUCAUCGUUUGAGCAAUGGGGGGACGCAGGAGGAUAGGGUAAGCGCACUGCUGGAAAUGUGCGUCUAAGCAGUUAGGCUGGAAAGCAGGCAAAUCCGCUUUCCGUGAAGGCUGAGCUGUGACAGCGAGGGAAAUAUAGUACCGAAGUUCCUGAUUCCACACUGCCAAGAAAAGCCUCUAGCGAGAUGGAAGGUGCCCGUACCGCAAACCGACACAGGUAGGCGAGGAGAGAAUCCUAAGGUGAGCGAGAGAACUCUCGUUAAGGAACUCGGCAAAAUAACCCCGUAACUUCGGGAGAAGGGGUGCUCUUUAGGGUUCAUAGCCCUGAAGAGCCGCAGUGAAUAGGCCCAGGCGACUGUUUAGCAAAAACACAGGUCUCUGCGAAGCCGCAAGGCGAAGUAUAGGGGCUGACGCCUGCCCGGUGCUGGAAGGUUAAGAGGAGGGGUUAGCUCACGCGAAGCUCUGAAUCGAAGCCCCAGUAAACGGCGGCCGUAACUAUAACGGUCCUAAGGUAGCGAAAUUCCUUGUCGGGUAAGUUCCGACCCGCACGAAAGGCGUAACGAUCUGGGCACUGUCUCAACGAGAGACUCGGUGAAAUUAUAGUACCUGUGAAGAUGCAGGUUACCCGCGACAGGACGGAAAGACCCCGUGGAGCUUUACUGCAGCCUGAUAUUGAAUUUUGGUACAGCUUGUACAGGAUAGGUAGGAGCCUUUGAAGCCGGAGCGCCAGCUUCGGUGGAGGCGUCGGUGGGAUACUACCCUGGCUGUAUUGAAAUUCUAACCCGCAUCCCUUAUC